rnacentral:rRNA from 1 species
AGUUUGAUUCUGGCUCAGAUUGAACGCUGGUGGGAUGUUUUUACACAUGCAAGUCGAACGGCAGUACGGACUUCGGUCUGGUGGCGAGUGGCGAACGGGUGAGUAAUGUAUCGAACGUGCCUAGUAGCGGGGGAUAACUACGCGAAAGUUAUAGCGACAUCGUUAAGGUACGUCUUUGAAGCGGGGACCUUCGGGCCUCGCACUAUUAGAGCGGCCGAUAUCGGAUUAGCGUAUUGGUGGAGUAACGGCUCACCAAGGCGACGAUCCGUAGCUGGUUUGAGGACGACCAGCCACACUGGGACUGAGACACGGCCCAGACUCCUACGGGAGGCAGCAGUGGGGAAUUUUGGACAAUGGGGAAACCCUGAUCCAGCCAUCCCUGCGUGUGCGAUGAAGGCCUUCGGGAAGAAAGCACUUUUGGCAGGAAAGAAACGGCAUCGGAUAAUACCCCGUGCAACUGACGGUACCUGCAGAAUAAGCACCGAUAACUACGUGCCAGCCGUAAUACGUAGGUGCAAGCGUUAAUCGGAAUUACUGGGCGUAAAGCGUGCGCAGGCGGUUCGGAAAGAAAGAUGUGGAACUUCAGAGCUGACUUUGAACUGCAUUUUUAACUACCGAGCUAGAGUGUCAGAGGGAGGUGGAAUUCCGCGUAGCAGUGAAAUGCGUAGAUAUGCGGAGGAACACCGAUGGCGAAGGCAGCCUCCUGGGAUAACACUGACGCUCAUGCACGAAAGCGUGGGGAGCAAACAGACAGAUACUCUGGUAGUCCACGCCCUAACUGGAUGUCAACUAGCUGUUGGGGCCUUCGGGCCUCGGUAGCGCAGCUAACGCGUGAAGUUGACCGCCCGGGGAGUACGGUCGCAAGAUUAAAACUCAAAGGAAUUGACGGGGACUCGCACAAGCGGUGGAUGAUGUGGAUUAAUUCGAUGCAACGCGAAAACCUUACCUACCCUUGACAUGUCUGGAAUCCCGAAGAGAUUUGGGAGUGCUCGCAAGAGAACCGAACACAGGUGCUGCAUGGUCGUCGUCAGCUCGUGUCGUGAGAUGUUGGUUAAGUCCCGCAACGAGCGUAACCCUUGUCAUUAGUUGCUGAAAGGGCACUCUAAUGAGACUGCCGCUGGUGACAAACCGGAGGAAGGUGGGGAUGACGUCAAGUCCUCAUGGCCCCUAUGGGUAGGGCUUCACACGUCAUACAAUGGUCGGGACAGAGGGUCGCCAACCCGCGAGGGGGAGCCAACUUGGUGAAACCCGAUCAAACCAUCGCAGUCUGCAACUCGACUGCGUGGUCACCUUCAACGGAAUCGCUAGUAAUCGCGGAUCAGCAUGUCGUGAAUACGUUCCCGGGUCCUGCACACACCGCCCGUCACACCAUGGGAGUGGGUUUUACCAGAAGUAGUUAGCCUAACCGUAAGGAGGGCGAUUACCACGGUAGGAUUCAUGACUGGGGUAGUCCCAACAAGGUAACCUCGA